UCAUGCGUAGGUUUACCUACUCCUCUAAGUCCUUCAAUCUAGUGGAUGCUUUCUGUAGUCAUUUCCUCAUGUGCUCGCAAUCCUAUGUCAUUUGGCAUUGUCCAUAAAGCUGGGUAAUGUACAACAAGCUUCAUUUUAGAUCAGGAUAAAUUUGAAUAAGCGAUCUCAUGAUAGACCUCUGAGGAGCUGAGCUUCUCUGAUUGUUGUGGUGAGAACGCCUGACAUCACUUGGUCUUUCAUACCUAGGGGAAGGAAGGCCGUCAGCACGGACCACUGAAAGGUGAAUGGAGGCUCUGUACACCAAGCUCGCUGGCCGUUACCAAGGGAAGCAUGCUUCCAGACGUCUCCUCCAGUACAUCAUGGCCUGACUGAGACUUCAGGUCCCUCAUUUCAACAAGAACAUUGGAUUUUCUGAUGCAGACCCCGGAGAGCAUUUGCAAAGAAGCUUGUCAUCACAAACAAUUAAAUUGGACAAACAACAGCAGCUCCAUUAUUGGGCACUUACUUUAUACCAGAUCUUAUGCUACGCACUUUUCAAGUUUAUUUCCUUCAAUACACACAACGCUAAGAGGAAAAAGUUAUUAGUGCCACUUUACAAAAUAAGAAACCAGGGUUUUGAGAGGGUAAUUUAUAAAGACCACUCAGGAUCCACAGUUAGGAAAGUAGAAGUCCUCCCUGUCAGCCAUCACACCGCUCUGGGGAUAUUUAUCAAGGAGCCAUCCUCGACAGUUGAAUUCAAACGGAUAUUUUCUUAGUCUUCUGUCCUCAACGAGCUGAGAGGGUCUCAGUGGUAGCUAUGACCUCUUCUCAAAAACAGAAGGUAGAAAGUCCAAAGCGUCAAUAAAAAGAAAAAGAAAUAAAAAGAAGAAGAAAAAAGGUAGCAAGUAAAAUGAAGAAAAAGGAAUCAGUUCUUACUGAAGGACUGAGGAGCAGGUUCACAGCACAGUGAUAAUAUCUGAUAAUAUAACCUAUUUUACUGUCCAAGCUACCAUCAUCUGACAUCUAGACUACUGCAGGGGCCUCUUAUUGGGUGAAUCUCUGCUGCAGUACACUGGAUUAUUGAUAGAGAGUAUUCAUCAUUUUUUACAGAAGGCAGUAUAUAUUUUCCUCUUUCACUGGUGUGACUUAUAUGGACCAAUGGAGAAUUACAGGGCAUGAUGCAGUAGAAGAUUUAAAUAAGUUUGCAUGGGAAGGCAGAGCUUCUGGUGCCCCUGUGAUCCUCCUGUAAGUCUUUUUGUAGCUGCUUCCUGACCAUCACUCCUCAAAGACACACGAGGCAGUCCUAAAGCCUCCUGCAGUCCCACAGAUGCGGCCUAGAACAGGUGCCAGAUUAGCUAAUCUGAAGACUAUGAUUAUUGAAAGUAAAAAGGGUUUGUUCAUAAGCAACUGAGAUUUUGAAAGUAUUUGUUACGCAGGAAAAACUGGCUGAUACAAAGUGUUUUCCCAUCAACUUAUUCACUUCUUCCUUCUCCAUGGGGAGUCAUGCUUAUCUUUUAAAACUUAAAUCAUGUAACUCUACCCACAAGCUUAAAACCCAAUCAUAAUUUUAUUGGCUUUAAAAUCAAUUUCAAUUUCUUAUCCUGGCUUAUAAAAUAUCUGUCUCUUUCCUCAGAAUGCUUUGGCUCCACUGGCCAUCUUUCUGUUUUUUAUAAGCUCAUAUUUUAAAGCCAGUAGACUUAAUCUUCUUUUUUCCUGCAAAGUUUCAGAGUCGAGAUCUGUGCUAAUAUGAUAGUCACUCGCCCCAUGUGGCU
rnacentral:lncRNA from 1 species